AGAGUUUGAUCCUGGCUCAGGACGAACGCUGGCGGCGUGCUUAACACAUGCAAGUCGAGCGGAAAGGCCCUUCGGGGUACUCGAGCGGCGAACGGGUGAGUAACACGUGAGCAACCUGCCCUAGGCUUUGGGAUAACCCUCGGAAACGGGGGCUAAUACCGAAUAUUACCUCCUGUCGCAUGGUGGGGGGUGGAAAGUUUUUCGGCCUGGGAUGGGCUCGCGGCCUAUCAGCUUGUUGGUGGGGUAAUGGCCUACCAAGGCGACGACGGGUAGCCGGCCUGAGAGGGCGACCGGCCACACUGGGACUGAGACACGGCCCAGACUCCUACGGGAGGCAGCAGUGGGGGAUAUUGCACAAUGGGCGGAAGCCUGAUGCAGCGACGCCGCGUGAGGGAUGACGGCCUUCGGGUUGUAAACCUCUUUCAGCAGGGACGAAGCGCAAGUGACGGUACCUGCAGAAGAAGCACCGGCCAACUACGUGCCAGCAGCCGCGGUAAUAC
rnacentral:rRNA from 1 species